UGUUGAUGGCUGGACAUUGCAUCAUCCUAGAAAACUUGGAGGCCAGUGAGGGCAAAAAUAAAAAGUUAUAAAACUUUUAAGAAUGUGGAUUUUAGGGUUAUUUUUGGCGCCCCCUAGAACGUAAACCAUGGGGUGCAGCAUCAUGAUUUGUACAACUUUGAAUGGCCAUGGGGUGUAGAUUGGCCUGAGCAAAUGUGGUGCCGGUGGACCGAAAGCCUUCGGAGGAGUUAGCGAAAUUCCAAUGUGUGCGGAUCUGCAAAAAAUGCGAAAUAACCCUUUAACCGUAAUUUUGAAGGAUACGCCCGCACUGACUUUUUUGUAGAUCUUAUUGAGAUACAUGUGUGUGUCAAUUUUUGUGUCAAUAUGACAAAGCGUACAGGCGUGACAGUCAAUAGUGUGAAUUUUCACCUUAGGGGGCGCUAUGGAGCCAUUUUGUAUUUUAUUGUUUGGGCGACUUCAGAAUAUCGAAUUUUUCACCAGGCCCGGUCGUCCUGCCAAAUUUCCUGAGUUUUCGCCAGUGGGAAGUGGGCCAUUUUCCAGUUUAAAGCGGAGGAAAAAUAAUAAUAACUAGGGCCCCGUUGGGGCACUGGCGGGCCCGAGCUGUGUCACGCCGCCCCCAACACGACCGCCUCUCCCUCCCGAUCGCGUCACACUCAAGGUUCAACGAUGGUGUGCGCACUUGUCUGUGGUCAUUUACCAUUAUAAUGAAUGGGAGGCGCAGUUUCUACCAAAACGCUUGCUGCAGACAAACUACAUGUCCUAUUUGAAAAAAGUCUGGACCAUGAGUGAGGGCACAAACACAGCUAGGAUAUAUCCAAAUGGCAAGUUCCUCCUCCUUUCGUUUUUUUCCGAGAGAGCGAUGUGUUUGAGCCA